rnacentral:rRNA from 1 species
CAUUUGUUCUCUAAAUAAGGACUUGUAUGAAUGGCCACACGAGGGUUUUACUGUCUCUUACUUCCGAUCAGUGAAAUUGACCUCCCCGUGAAGAGGCGGGGAUGAACUAACAAGACGAGAAGACCCUAUGGAGCUUCAACUAACUAAUCCAAAGAAAACAAACUCAAUCACCAAGAGAUAAAAACACUCUUUAUGGGUUAGCAGUUUCGGUUGGGGUGACCUCGGAGAAUAAAAAAUCCUCCGAGCGAUUUUAAAGACUAGACCUACAAGUCAAACCAAAUUAUCGCUUAUUGAUCCAAAUAUUUGAUCAACGGAACAAGUUACCCUAGGGAUAACAGCGCA